UAACCCCGGCACAAGGUUGACACAAAAUUGAAAUGAUACAGAGAAGACAUUUUCAAGAUUGAAAUUAAUAUGGCCCCUUUGCAAGGAUGACACAAAUUUAAGAAAACAUUUUCAAGAAAUCUUU
rnacentral:snRNA from 1 species